AGGGAAAAGCUCAAAUUUAAAAUCUGGCAGUUUCACUGUCCGAGUUGUAAUUUAGAGAAGUGUUACCCGUGUUGAGCCGUGUACAAGUCUCCUGGAAUGGAGCGUCAUAGAGGGUGAGAAUCCCGUCUUUGACACGGAUUUCAAUACAUUGUGGUGCGCUCUCGAA
rnacentral:rRNA from 1 species